UACGUAGGUGGCAAGCGUUGUCCGGAAUUACUGGGUGUAAAGCGCGUGUAGGCGGCAGACCAAGUCGGCGGUGAAAGCGCCCGGCUCAACUGGGCGAGGUCCGUGGAAACUGGUCAGCUGGAGGACGGUAGAGGCGAGUGGAAUUCCCGGUGUAGUGGUGAAAUGCGUAGAUAUCGGGAGGAACACCAGUGGCGAAGGCGGCUUUCUGGACGGUGUCUGACGCUGAGGCGCGAAAGCCAGGGGAGCGAACGGG
rnacentral:rRNA from 1 species